rnacentral:rRNA from 1 species
GACUGUGAAACCUCGACGCCAGUUGGGGCGGAGUCGUUGUUGAAAUACCACUCUGAUCGUAUUGGGCAUCUAACCUCGAACCCUGAAUCGGGUUUAGGGACAGUGCCUGGCGGGUAGUUUAACUGGGGCGGUUGCCUCCUAAAAUGUAACGGAGGCGCCCAAAGGUUCCCUCAACCUGGACGGCAAUCAGGUGGCGAGUGUAAAUGCACAAGGGAGCUUGACUGCGAGACUUACAAGUCAAGCAGGGACGAAAGUCGGGAUUAGUGAUCCGGCACCCCCGAGUGGAAGGGGUGUCGCUCAACGGAUAAAAGGUACCCCGGGGAUAACAGGCUGAUCUUCCCCAAGAGUCCAUAUCGACGGGAUGGUUUGGCACCUCGAUGUCGGCUCGUCGCAUCCUGGGGCUGGAGCAGGUCCCAAGGGUUGGGCUGUUCGCCCAUUAAAGCGGCACGCGAGCUGGGUUUAGAACGUCGUGAGACAGUUCGGUCUCUAUCCGCCGCGCGCGUCAGAAACUUGAGGAAACCUGUCCCUAGUACGAGAGGACCGGGACGGACGAACCUCUGGUGCACCAGUUGUCCCGCCAGGGGCACCGCUGGAUAGCCACGUUCGGUCAGGAUAACCGCUGAAAGCAUCUAAGCGGGAAACCUUCUCCAAGAUCAGGUUUCUCACCCACUUGGUGGGAUAAGGCCCCCCGCAGAACACGGGUUCAAUAGGUCAGACCUGGAAGCUCAGUAAUGGGUGUAGGGAACUGGUGCUAACCGGCCGAAAACUUACAACACCC